GACGAACGCUGGCGGCGUGCCUAAUACAUGCCAGUAGAACGCACAGUUUAUACCGUAGCUUGCUACACCAUAGACUGUGAGUUGCGAACGGGUGAGUAACGCGUAGGUAACCUGCCUGGUAGCGGGGGAUAACUAUUGGAAACGAUAGCUAAUACCGCAUAAUAUUGAUUACUGCAUGAUAAUUGAUUGAAAGAUGCUAUUGCAUCACUACCAGAUGGACCUGCGUUGUAUUAGCUAGUAGGUGAGGUAACGGCUCACCUAGGCGACGAUACAUAGCCGACCUGAGAGGGUGAUCGGCCACACUGGGACUGAGACACGGCCCAGACUCCUACGGGAGGCAGCAGUAGGGAAUCUUCGGCAAUGGACGAAAGUCUGACCGAGCAACGCCGCGUGAGUGAAGAAGGUUUUCGGAUCGUAAAGCUCUGUUGUAAGAGAAGAACGGGUGUGAGAGUGGAAAGUUCACACUGUGACGGUAUCUUACCAGAAAGGGACGGCUAACUACGUG
rnacentral:rRNA from 1 species